AAAUACUCUGCAUUAGGUACUGCAGGGGAAAACACGCCUGGACUUCUCCACAUCCAUGUUUCCUGGACAUACUUCCUUCCAAGGCGUGUGUGCUACUCGUUGGUGAAGCGAGCUGAGGUGUAGGUGGAGGAAGGUUCAGUCAGGGUUUCCACGGCUGUGAGGAGACACCAUGGCCACAGCAACUCUUAAUAAGGAAAACAUUUCACUGUGGCUGGCUUACAGUUUCGGAGGUUCAGCCCGUUAUCAUCACGGCAGGAAGCACAGGGGCGUUGCAGGCAGAAGUGGUGCUGGAGUAGGAGCUGAGGGUUCUCCCGGGGCAGCAUGUCCUUCUGUGGCUGUGAGUCACUGAGUCUGGGCUUGAGCUUCUGAGACCUAGUGACACACUUCACCCAACAAAGCCAUGCCUGCUCCAAUAAGGCCACACCUCCUAAUAGUGCCCCUCCCUAUGGACCUAUGGGGGCCCCUUUUACUGCUUACACCUCUGAAAGCUGUGAUGAAGGUAAGGGACCUGUUCUGUGGACAGGCAUCCCAUUGUCCUCGCUGAGCAUGAUCGGUCAGGUGAUAAGCAGCAUCCAAGCCAAGAACCUGCCCUGGUGUGCGAGCUACGGUGGGCACUGACUGUCGACGACGUGACGGGGUUAAACGUGUCAUGGAAGUACGCCUGUGAGACUUAACCGCAGAACCUACUCUAAAGGCACCCAAGCAGGACUCUGCUAUUCAUUUCCGGGGGAUUCAGUAACAAUGUAUCAUGAAGACAGUGGGUGGCACUUAAACCAUCAGAAAUGUGUUACCCUCUCACUGGCCCAGAGACUGGAACCUUCGACUCAUGUAUCAGCAGAGCCAGCUCCCACAUGAGCAUUUCAAUAUUUCAAUUCAUGCGUCAGCAGAGCCGAGCUCCCACGUGAGCACUCAGGGGAAGGGUGCUUCCCCGCCUCUUCCUGCUUCUGGUGGUGUCAGCCUUCCUCGGGGUUCCCAGACUUUCUGCAGCACCCUUCCUGCCUCUCCCUCGCCUGCCCAUGGUCCCUUCCCUGUGUGUGUCUGUGUACUGUCUUUUCUUAUGAUGUCGUCAGCGACACUGGAAUCAGGGACUAGCUUCACCUAAUAGGACUUCACGGGAAUUCAACUAACUUCAUCUACAAAGAUCCUCUUUUGAAAUAAGGUCACACUGCGCAGCUCUAAGUCGCUGUGUGUGUGUGUGUGUGUGUGUUCACACGCGCACGCAUGUGUACUCAGAUCUAACCACAGCUGCCUUCAUCAUCUGCAAGUCCUCCCCAACAAUGGUCUUCAUCACUACACUGCGUGAUGCUAUAACCCAGGACUCAGAAAUCAGAGUUGAACAAGGGAUAGCCUUAGAGGACAUCUAGCCAGCGACUGACAAUGAUCCCAGCGCCCAGCUACACAUGAGAUAGUGCCUCGUACACCUCUGUCUGUGGGGGAACGAGAGUGGGAUGAGGAAGGGGGCAGGCACUCUUGGGGCAUCCCUGGUACCAUGAAAGACUGCAUAUUGUGGCGUGCUGGGGCCCCUCCUGUCAGAGGGCACCCAUGAGUCUGGAGCGCGAUCUCUGGGUCCCUGAAUCUCUCGGCAGACAGACAGCCAUCCAUACACUUGAUUUCAUCGCACGGCUGUCCCACUCGUGUUGGUGUCAAGCAUAACCAGGGACUUCUUGUUCCUGGCACUUCUGACAAGACAGAAAAUUGCAGGGCUGAGAAAAAUGCCCCCUCUC